rnacentral:rRNA from 1 species
GAUGAACGCUGGCGGCGUGCUUAACACAUGCAAGUCGAACGAUGAAGCCCAGCUUGCUGGGUGGAUUAGUGGCGAACGGGUGAGUAACACGUGAGUAACCUGCCCUUAACUCUGGGAUAAGCCUGGGAAACUGGGUCUAAUACCGGAUAGGAGCGCCUACCGCAUGGUGGGUGUUGGAAAGAUUUAUCGGUUUUGGAUGGACUCGCGGCCUAUCAGCUUGUUGGUGAGGUACUGGCUCACCAAGGCGACGACGGGUAGCCGGCCUGAGAGGGUGACCGGCCACACUGGGACUGAGACACGGCCCAGACUCCUACGGGAGGCAGCAGUGGGGAAUAUUGCACAAUGGGCGAAAGCCUGAUGCAGCGACGCCGCGUGAGGGAUGACGGCCUUCGGGUUGUAACCCUCUUUCAGUAGGGAAGAAGCGAAAGUGACGGUACCUGCAGAAGAAGCACCGGCUAACUACGUG